GACGAACCGUGCGAACGUUGUUCGGAAUCACUGGGCUUAAAGGGCGCGUAGGCGGUCUGCCAAGUCGGGGGUGAAAUCUUUCGGCUUAACCGGAAAAGGGCUUUCGAUACUGGCAGACUUGAGGGAGGUAGGGGCAGAUGGAACUUCCGGUGGAGCGGUGAAAUGCGCAGAUAUCAGGAGGAACACCGAUGGCGAAGGCAGGUCUCUGGGCAUUAACUGACGCUGAGGAGCGAAAGCAUGGGGAGCGAACAGG
rnacentral:rRNA from 1 species